rnacentral:rRNA from 1 species
UACGGAGGGAGCUAGCGUUGUUCGGAAUUACUGGGCGUAAAGCGCACGUAGGCGGCUUUGUAAGUUAGAGGUGAAAGCCCGGGGCUCAACCCCGGAAUAGCCUUUAAGACUGCAUCGCUUGAAUCCGGGAGAGGUGAGUGGAAUUCCGAGUGUAGAGGUGAAAUGCGCAGAUAUCAGGAAGAACACCCGUGGCGAAGGCGGCUCUCUGGGACGGUACUGACGCUGAGACGCGAAAGCGUGGGGAGCGAACAGG